ensembl:lncRNA
GCACUGCUGGGGGUGGCAGAUGGGAGGUGGGCAGCAGGGGGAGGCGGCAGAGCCCAGCUCUGUGGCCCAGUCCUGAGGAUUCAGACAGGGACACCCUGUGCUUUUCAGCUGGUCACGUACACCUGUGACCCGAGUAUGUCUUCGGGUGAGCGGGAUUGUUUCUAUAACAAGGAAAUUUCUUCCUCCACUCCCAGCAUGCCAAAUGUCCUCACACAUGUGAGCUUUACGCUGUGUGUCCAGAAACUAAUGACAGUGGUCUCCUGCAAGACUGGCAUCUCCUCUCACUCUGCUCACGCGUGCCCGUGGCGAGUGGUGGCAGCAGGGCUCACCUGGCAGCCUCCGCUUUGCAGAACAGUGCAAGCAGCAAAGUCUGCAUUGCACCAUGAGGCACAGCGAUGUACUCACAGGGUGAGACUUGUCAGCUAAGGAUGAGACUGCAGCUCCACCCUGCCUGAGGGCACAUUUCAGAGCAGCCAUGACCUCCCCCAGUGGGGCUCGAGACCCCAACAGAGUUAGAGCUUUCUCAUUUUUGACUGCUGACCCUGGGUGUGAGACACAGAGGAACCCCACGUCCAGGGCUCAGUGCAGGACUGAGGUUUCAAUUAUUCUUCUAACGGAGCACGAGAAUCUUGCUCACGCUUGAAGUACCUCUCCUUGCUGCCUUGCCUUUCCUUGCCCUGGAGAGCAAGCACAGGGCUUUGCUCUGCCUCGGUGAAUCUGAAAUUUGGUGGAGUCUGAUUAAAGCUGCUGUGGGGGAUAAGAUAGGGCAACAGCUACUGGGGGUUACUCGGAGGGUUUAGUACAGUAAUGAUAUGGAUAUAUUUAGUGUGCAUCUAGUGUUCCUAUCGCCAUGUUCAGAGGUUUGGGGACAUAAAUUGGAUAAAUUAUUCAAGUGUGAUCGUCCUUUCUUUACUUGGAAGAAUCUAGAUUAAAAACUGUGAUUAUGGAUAGGCAUUAAGGUAAUAAUCUAUUUUAUUUCAGAGAUGGAGUCAUCUUGUACAUUUUUAUAUAUCACAUAAAUAUUAUAUCAGGAAAAAAAAUUGGGCUAAAUUUGAAGAAGAAGAUGAAAAAAACUAGCUGAAGGAGAUUCUGAACUGCUAAUAUACAUACGGGCAUACACUUCCAUCUCGUGAGCCCAGUGUGCUGAUCUAGUCCAAACUGAAUUCUGAAAGUAAUACUAGUUUAUACAAAAUAGUGAGUCUGUAAAUAUUCACCAUAGACGAAAAGGCUUUAUUCAACUAAGUGAUUAGGAG